rnacentral:rRNA from 1 species
UCAACCGAGAUUCCGCAAGUAGUGGCGAGCGAACGCGGAAAAGCCUGUAUAUGAUAAUGGUUAAGAUAGAAGAAGGGAUUGGAAACUUCCGCCAUAGUGGGUGAUAGCCCCGUAUUUGAAAUCUUAACCAUGGUACUAAGUAUACGAGAAGUAGGGCGGGACACGUGAAAUCCUGUCUGAAUAUGGGGGGACCAUCCUCCAAGGCUAAAUACUCAUCAUCGACCGAUAGUGAACCAGUACCGUGAGGGAAAGGCGAAAAGAACCCCGGAAGGGGAGUGAAAUAGAACCUGAAACCUGAUGCAUACAUACAGUGGGAGCAUCUUUGUGGUGUGACUGCGUACCUUUUGUAUAAUGGGUCAACGACUUACAUUCAGUAGCGAGCUUAACCGAGUAGGGGAGGCGUAGGGAAACCGAGUCUUAAUAGGGCGACUAGUUGCUGGGUGUAGACCCGAAACCGAGUGAUCUAUCCAUGGCCAGGAUGAAGGUGCGGUAAAACGCAUUGGAGGUCCGAACCCACGCAUGUUGCAAAAUGUGGGGAUGAGCUGUGGAUAGGGGUGAAAGGCUAAACAAACUCGGAGAUAGCUGGUUCUCCCCGAAAACUAUUUAGGUAGUGCCUCGAGUAUGAGACUGAUGGGGGUAAAGCACUGUUAUGGC